rnacentral:lncRNA from 1 species
CUCAGACUCCACGCCCGUGGGAGUAGUGAGAGGCAUAGGAUGGGACAGAAGGAGAUGCUAAACAGUGAUGCAGAAGCAGCGAAGACCUCCGCAAUCCUGCAGGGAAGCUUGGGAGCUGGUACGGCCCUGCAGAGAUGCACUGAGGGAAGCCAAGCUGCCAUGUUGUAAGCUGCCCUAUGAAGGGACCCACAUGGCAAAGAAUGGAGAAUGACCCCAGCCAGCCAAGAACUCUCAGCCUACCGGCCCAUGAGGAACUGAAUCCUGCCAACAGCGAUGUGAGUGAACUUGGAAGUGGAUCCUUCUCCAGUGGCACCAUCAGCAGUUUGAGGAAAAUAAACUUGAAUAUAUCAGUCCUAAUCCAGAAAGGCUUGAGAUGGUUGGUUGGAGAGUGUUUUCCAUGAUGUUGGCCUGAAGCCCUUCAGCCACUUUGAACAGGUAGGCAUAUGUCUCCGUGUGAAAUCUAUUUGUAACCCAAGACGAUGCUGUCAAUACAACAGGAAACUCUUUGCCUCCUCUAGCCUGUGGGCAGGAAUAGGGUCCCAGUGACGGUACUACCUCAGACCUCACUAUGUCGUAACUUCCUUCUGCUCACAACCACUCCAAAGUGCCCUCUGAAUGCUUCUGGGCUCCCAGGGGAGGUCUUGGGUGUGCCUGCCACGAGGUGAGUUCUUGAGCCCCAGGUGGCUCCUUCCCUUUCCCCACAAGUCUCAAGGUCUGUGGCUCUCUCUGCUUCUGCUCCACAGGGUGCCCCCACUGGUGUCCUGAAGCUCAUCCUGCACCAAGCAGAAGCGAGCAGAAGAACCCCACACCCUGCCCCUGCUGCAACACACUCACCUGGAGACCUAAAAUGUGACCUCCAUGUCCCCUCUGUGAGAACAGCUUCUUCCACCUCUGCUGUGGGGAACAGCAGCAUCCCAGGCAGAGGGAACUGCAUAUGCAAGGAACCUGGGUGGGGUGGGGGGCAAUGGUGGCCGGCGUUUGAAGAACAGUAAGGCAGUCAAUGUUGCUGGAGCCCAGAGAGAUAAUGAAAGGUGGAUGACGUGGGGUCUUAUAGGUCACCAUGAGAGCUUUACUCUAAGGUGUUGGGAAGCCAGACACCUGCAGACAUGUCUGCAAAUACCUUUGAGGUUUGUCUGAAUCCUCAGCUGCAGAGGAAAACACAGGAAGUAUGGGAGUUCCCCACAAGAGUUCACAUUUGAACUAGGUUGUUUUUUUUUUAACCGCAACCUCUGCCUCCUAGUUGCAAGUGACUCUCCUGUCUCAGCCUCUCGAGUAG